CCUACGGGUGGCAGCAGUGAGGAAUAUUGGUCAAUGGUCGGGAGACUGAACCAGCCAAGCUGCGUGAGGGAGGAAGGUACAGAGUAUCGUAAACCUCUUUUGUCAGGGAACAAAGACUGGGACGCGUCCCCGGAUGAGUGUACCUGAAGAAAAAGCAUCGGCUAACUCCGUGCCAGCAGCCGCGGUAAUACGGAGGAUGCGAGCGUUAUCCGGUUUUAUUGGGUUUAAAGGAUGCGCAGGCGGUCUGUUAAGUCAGCGGUCAAAGCCCGGGGCUCAACCCCGGCCCGCCGUUGAAACUGGCAGGCUCGAGUUGGAGAGAGGUAGGCGGAAUGCGCGGUGUAGCGGUGAAAUGCAUAGAUAUCGCGCAGAACUCCGAUUGCGAAGGCAGCAUGCCGGAUCCACACUGACGCUGAGGCACGAAAGCGUGGGUAUCGAACAGGAUUAGAUACCCGAGUAGUC
rnacentral:rRNA from 1 species